GGAGACUUUCCUGAAAGGAAAACUUCAAGUUUCACUUAUAAAAUUGACUGGAAUAGGCAAGAGGGAAAAGCUAGCACAUGAAGGAAUCUCUUGUAUUUUUCUUUCAUGUGGAAUAUUUUCCUCUUCUGCCCCUCUUUCCAUGUCCCUGGGCCUGGGGAAAGGAUGGCUCCCUUGGACCAUAGAGAAAAAUGAUGUAGAAACUUCUUCCUUCAUUGCCUCCCCCAGCCCUUUGGCUUCUCCCCUGGCUGCGCCCAUUCUCCCUCCCCAACCCCUGGCCCAGGAGCCUGUCUUUCCUCCAAACUCAUCUGGAGCCGAGUCUCUCCCCUAGAGCUGCUCCUGAGUGAGAAGUGUGUCAUUCCUACCACAGGAGGGUGGAAGAGGAGAGAGAGAGGUCAGAGCCUGGGACUGUGGGAGAAGGUACAGCAGGAAUGAAGGAGGUUAGAUUCAGAAGGACUUAUAAAUGAGAGUGAGAUAUAAGUGAUCAGAGGGUGACUGAGGACAUUGCUGGCAUCUCCAUUUAGGAGGGAAGCAUUGGGUACAGGGGCAGAGAGCAUGGGCAGGAUCUGGAUGAGAUUGACCCCCACUCUCACCCCUGUCCUCUGACAAAACCCCAGGUCACACCAGGGGGCCCUUCAGGCCCAGGUGCUCCACCAGGUAGGUGUAUCUUAGCUCCUCUCCAGGGAGGAGCCCCACAGCUGCCCAGCCCUGGUGUGUCUUGUCCCCCUGCAGAUUGGGUCCCCCUGAGUCCUGAGUCCACAAUCAUCUCCUUCCUUUCCUGCAGCCAGGUCAGCAUAGUGUUGGCAGGUAAAGAGUCAAAUGCUCAGCCUCUCACAGUGUGAUGGUCCUCCUUGUCAGUCAUCACGACCUUGGAGGACACUGGUGAGAGACAGUAGAGAGAUGGAGUGAGGGUGGGCCCCACCUUCGCUUCCUCCCUCUUCUCCUAGUCUUCCUCCACAGCAGCGCCCCCUCCCUCCCCCAGCCCCAGGACUUCUGAAAGCCCAGGCAGGGAGGGGGGAAGCCCACUUCUGUGCCAGGAGUCUCUCCACAGUGUGCGCACUUCCACUCCCACUGCAGUGGUAGGGCCUGCUCCGUGCAGAGCCCCAGGUACUCGCAGAAGGCGAUGCAGGAAUGUUCUUCCUUCAAAUGUCUGCAUGGCUCAGUUCCUCACCUCCUGCACGUCUGCACAAGUGUCAUCUCAAUGAGGCCCGUCCUGACCGCAUCAUUUAAAAGCGCCACCUCUCACAUCACCUUUUAUUGAUUGUUGACUUUGCAUUAUUUUUUCUCUAUGUCUCCUAUCACUUUCUAACGUACUACGAAGGCUUCUUUUCCCAGGGAUGGCCUCAAGAAUAUCCCCCCUCCACAUGCUCUUUUGCAGUGUGACCUCGUCAUCUCCCGUCUAGAGGUGGGGCCUAAUUCCCCUACCCUUGGAUCUGUGACAAGCUUUGGUGACUAUAACAUGGGAAGAUGACACUGCUUGAUUUCUAGGUUCUGACAUAAGAUGCUUUGUGGUUUCUGACUUGUCCACAUGAUACACUCCCUCCUGGACCCCAGCUGCUGAGCUGGGAACAGCCAAGCCAUGUGGAGAAGCGGGUGGAGGAGAACCUAGGUCUCCCUGUUAACAGCCCCAGUGAGCUCCCAGUCAACAGCCAGCAUCACCUGCAGCCCCAUCAUGGAGCCCUCUUGAAUGUUCUGGAUCAACUGGGCCUCCAGAUGACUGCAGUCCUAACCCAUGUCACAUGGAGCAGAAGAGCUGCCCGACUCAGCCCUGUCAACCCACAGAAUGAGAGAGCAAAAAGCUUGUUGUGUAUUUUAGGAUUGUUUGUUACCCAGCAAUAGAUGAUGGGAACACAUGCCAUAUAAUUUAUUACUAUUAUGAUGUUUUCAUUUAUUGUCUGCCUGUCCUGUCAGACUGUCAGCAUCAGGAGAGCAGGUGUUUUGUAUGUUCUGAUUAAAUGAUUCCCCAGGCCUGGAACAGUGCCUGGUACAGAGGCACUCACUACAUAUUUGCGAGUGAAUGAGUAAAUGCUGGGCCCAUGUUCCUUAGAGCUGAGUCUGAGACUGAAAGGGAGAGUUUAUGGUGUUGGUUUGGAGGUUGUCUUCCUCUGCUCCGGCUGCUGUAACAAAAUGCCACAGACUGGGAGCUUAAGCAGCAGCAGUUUAUUUUCUCACAGUGCUGGAGGCUAGGAAUCCGAGAUCAAAGUGCCAGGAGAUUUGGUUUCUGAUGAGGGCUCCCUCCUGCCUUGUGGAUGGCUGUCUUCUUGCUGUGUCCUCACAUGGCCUUUCCUCUGUGUGCAGAGAGAGAUCUCUGGUGUCUGUUUCUCAUAACCACCAGUCCUGUCAGACAGGGCCCCACUCUUGUGACCUCAUUUAACCUUUAUUCUCUCCCUAAAGGCUUAUCUCUAAAUACAAUCGCAUUUGGGGUUAGGGUUAGGGGUUUAGACAUACAAAUUUUGGGGGACACAACUCAGUCCAUAACAGGUGUCUCCUGUGAUGUGUAUGUGUUUGGAAACUACCAAUUGGUCUUGGUUUCUGGAACCCCCUGACGAGCACAAUGCUCAGCACUGCCCCAAAUUCAUGUUCUCACCACACAAGCACAGCAGACAGGCAGCACCUGGCCACCAACUGCCCCUGAUGUCUCUUGGGCCAGGGAAAGGGGUCUGUCUAGGUUGCGGGGUCAUGGGCAACUGCUGCCCAGAUCGCAGCUGUGGCUCAGCUGCAGCAUGUGGGGGUCUGAGGAUCCCUCCCCUGACUUGACCCCAUGUCAGUUCAGGCUGCUAUAACAGAAUACCAUAAACUGGGUGGCUAAUAAAGAAUAGAAAUUUAUUUCUAUUCUACAGUUUUUUCUACAGAAAUUUAUUUCUAUUCUGCAGUUCUGGAGGCUGAGAAGACCAAGAUCAAGGUGCCAGCAAAUUGGGUGUCUGGCCUUAGCUCCAGAAGGAGGAAUGCUUCCACCAGGAGACACAACAGUGAUUCCACUGAACUGGAAGCUAAGACUUCCAUCUGGCCACUUUGGGCUCCUCAUGCCUCUGAAUCAACAGGCAAAGAAUAGAGUUAUGUGUUGUGUGAGGUGAUUGGUCCUGACUGCCAAGGAGAAAUUGGACUACUGUUGCACAAUGGAGGUAAGAAAGGGUAUGUCUGGAACACAAGAGAACCCUUAGGGCAUCUUUUAGUAUUACCACACCCUGUGAUUAAGGUCAAUGGUAAAGUACAACCCAACUCAAGCAGGACUGCUAAUGGCCUACACUCUUCAGGAAUGAAGGUUUGGGUCACCCUAUCAGGCAAAGGACUAUAACUAGCUGAGAUGCU
ensembl:lncRNA